rnacentral:rRNA from 1 species
UACAGAGGUCUCAACCGUUGUUCGGAUUCAUUGGGCGUAAAGAGCGUGUAGGCGGCUAGAUAGGUCCGUUGUGAAAACUCGAGGCUCAACCUCGAGACGUCGAUGGAAACCAUCUGGCUAGAGUCCGGAAGAGGAGAGUGGAAUUCCUAGUGUAGCGGUGAAAUGCGUAGAGAUUAGGAAGAACACCAGUGGCGAAGGCGACUUACUGGACUGUAACUGACGCUGAGGCAUGAAAGCGUGGGGAGCAAACAGG